rnacentral:rRNA from 1 species
GACGAACGCUGGCGGCGUGCUUAACACAUGCAAGUCGAACGGUAAGGCCCUUCGGGGUACACGAGUGGCGAACGGGUGAGUAACACGUGGGUGAUCUGCCCUGCACUUCGGGAUAAGCCUGGGAAACUGGGUCUAAUACCGGAUAGGACUCCUGCCUGCAUGGGUGGGGGUGGAAAGCUUUUGCGGUGUGGGAUGGGCCCGCGGCCUAUCAGCUUGUUGGUGGGGUAAUGGCCUACCAAGGCGACGACGGGUAGCCGGCCUGAGAGGGUGACCGGUCACACUGGGACUGAGAUACGGCCCAGACUCCUACGGGAGGCAGCAGUGGGGAAUAUUGCACAAUGGGCGCAAGCCUGAUGCAGCGACGCCGCGUGAGGGAUGACGGCCUUCGGGUUGUAAACCUCUUUCAGCUAUGACGAAGCGCAAGUGACGGUAGUAGCAGAAGAAGGACCGGCCAACUACGUGCCAGCCGCCGCCGUAA